rnacentral:rRNA from 1 species
UGAGGAAUAUUGGUCAAUGGGCGCGAGCCUGAACCAGCCAAGUCGCGUGAGGGAUGACGGCCCUACGGGUUGUAAACCUCUUUGUCGGGGAGCAAAUUCCGUUACGUGUAACGGAGUCGAGAGUACCCGAAGAAAAAGCAUCGGCUAACUCCGUGCCAGCAGCCGCGGUAAUACGGAGGAUGCGAGCGUUAUCCGGAUUUAUUGGGUUUAAAGGGUGCGUAGGCGGACUGUCAAGUCAGCGGUAAAAUACGGGGGCUCAACCUCCGCCCGCCGUUGAAACUGACGGUCUUGAGUGGGCGAGAAGUAUGCGGAAUGCGUGGUGUAGCGGUGAAAUGCAUAGAUAUCACGCAGAACUCCGAUUGCGAAGGCAGCAUACCGGCGCCCGACUGACGCUGAGGCACGAAAGCGUGGGUAUCGAACAGGAUUAGAUACC